GUAGGUGGCUUGUAAAGUGAAUAGUGAAACCUGGUGGCUCAACCAUACAGACUAUUAUUCAAACUCACAAGCUCGAGAGUAGCAGAGGUAACNUGGAAUUUCUUGUGUAGGAGUGAAAUCCGUAGAUAUAAGAAGGAACACCAAUGGCGUAGGCAGGUUACUGGGCUAUUUCUGACACUGAGGCACGAAAGCGUGGGGAGCGAACCGGAUUAGAUACCCGGGUAGUCCACGCCGUAAACGAUGGAUACUAGCUGUUGGAGGUAUCGACCCCUUCAGUAGCGAAGCUAACGCGUUAAGUAUCCCGCCUGUGGAGUACGGUCGCAAGACUAAAACAUAAAGGAAUUGACGGGGACCCGCACAAGCGGUGGAUCGUGUUCUUUAAUUCGAUGAUAAACGAAGAACCUUACCAGGGUUUGACAUCCUUGGAAUUUCUGUGAAAGCAGAGAGUGCUUUAUUGAGCCAAGUGACAGGUGAUGCAUGGCCGUCGUCAGCUCGUGUCGUGAGAUGUUUGGUUAAGUCCAUCAACGAGCGCAACCCUUGUGAAUAGUUGUAUUUUUCUAUUCAGACUGCCCCGGUAACGGGGAGGAAGGAGGGGAUGAUGUCAGGUCAGUAUUUCCCUUACACCCUGGGCUAGAAACACGAUACAAUGGUUAGUACAAUGCGCAGCGAAGCCGCGAGGUGGAGCAAAUCNCAUCAAAGCUAAUCU
rnacentral:rRNA from 1 species